CUCAGGAGAGGGGUCACUGGAGAGAAGGACAGGUCCCUAAGGCACCUCUCUACCUCAGUGGUGACAUUAAAGGAACCAGGUUUCCCCUUCCACCCAUGCCAGCCACUGAUGCAUUUCUUAGUUCCUGUUUCUCUUUGCUCACCCAGGAAGGCACUGCGUAUGAAAUCUUGGGCCCAGACUCCCGAUUUUAACUCACGUUAGAAAAUGCUAGCUCAUAGGACACAAAUCAGGAAGCUGGUUUUCCCAACAGACUCAUCUGGGCACUCAUUCUCCCAGAAUGUCAGAUACCACAGAGCCAGGUUGGUCGUCCCUCAGAAAGCCCGGCAUUUCACUGCUGCUAGCAAAGGAGGCUUUGGAGAAAAAACAAAGGCUGCAGGAGUUUAUGUGAAUCAGCUCACUCCUGUGGACAGGACACGAGGGGAAAGAUACUGAGGAAAAACAAUACAGAAUCUCAAGAAAUAAAUACAGACAUCGCAACUGCCACGUGAGUGUCCGGACAGCAGGGACUUUGGGUGUAAGAGAAGCUUUGCUCCCUGUGACUCAACAGAACUCUGCCAGCAAAGGCUAGUGGGUAAAAAGGGAUCUGCUCCAGAUGUGUUUGGGAAGCGCACAAUAGACUAAUUUAAAUGGCUCUCUUUAUUUCCUAACUUUGCAGGGUCUUCUGUACGCGACUGUGCAUUGUGAAUGCAUCUCUAGGGGAUGGAUGGAGCUUUUCCAAAAUCAUGCAUCCCUCUCCUUUUCUGCGGUUGUCAAAAGUCAGGAGAUGUGGAGGGGCAGGGGCAGCUGGUAUCUCUGGUGAACUCAGGGAAGCCCUGACUAGUCAUGGGCAGAGCCCGUCCUUUCUCUGCCCAUCGCUAGCGCCUGGUCAGAGAACAUCGCUGGAAACAGUGGGCAGGCCUGCGUCCGACCUCCCUCCGACCUCCCUACCAUGGCAGUGCUGUCUCUGGCCCUCUCUUCCUCCUCUGAGGGUCUGAGCAGCAGAUUUAAUCACAAAGCCGGCUUGUAGGUCUAUGGUCUUUGAGGGAGAUGACGCCAUCCAUUUUUCUGAAUCAGCGUGUCUCUCUGUCUGUCUUUGGAAUUAUCUUUUCACUUAUUUGGGAG
rnacentral:lncRNA from 1 species